AAAACUUUCAACAACGGAUCUCUUGGUUCUGGCAUCGAUGAAGAACGCAGCGAAAUGCGAUAAGUAAUGUGAAUUGCAGAAUUCAGUGAAUCAUCGAAUCUUUGAACGCACAUUGCGCCCGCCAGUAUUCUGGCGGGCAUGCCUGUUCGAGCGUCAUUUCAACCCUCAGGCCCCCAGUGC
rnacentral:rRNA from 1 species